GAUGAAGAACGUAGCGAAGUGCGAUACGUAAUGUGAAUUGCAGAAUUCAGUGAAUCAUCGAGUCUUUGAACGCACAUUGCGCCCCCUGGUAUUCCGGGGGGCAUGCCUGUCCGAGCGUCAUUGCUGCCCUCAAGCACGGCUUGUGUGUUGGGCCUCCGUCCUCCUCCCGGGGGACGGGCCCGAAAGGCAGCGGCGGCACCGCGUCCGGUCCUCGAGCGUAUGGGGCUUCGUCACCCGCUCUUGUAGGCCCGGCCGGCGCUUGCCGACACAUCAAUCUUUUUUCCAGGUUGACCUCGGAUCAGGUAGGGAUACCCGCUGAACUUAAGCAUAUCAAUAAGCGGAGGA
rnacentral:misc_RNA from 1 species